rnacentral:lncRNA from 1 species
ACACCAGAGGCAGCUGUCAACAUCUGGGCCAACAGUCUAGGCCAGCAGAGAGAAAGAAAGGGAUCUUAGCCCUCAAUGACUCAGCUCUCUCAGGU